rnacentral:lncRNA from 1 species
GGAAUGUGGAGACAAAGCUCCCUUCAGGAACCCCCGGAGGAAGAGAGUGGGCCCCCGCAAUGAGGGCGGAGACGGGCAGCUUUCUGGUGGCUUUGAAGGAGUUGGGAACCGACAUGGCACCCGCCAAGAAUAUUCACAGGUCAGCCUCUGUUGCAGCGAAGCGUGUCUGUGUGACCCCGUGUUGGCUGACGAGACGUGUUGUUCCCUCGUCCUUCCUCUUCCUUCGGUUCAUCGCGCUGGAAGACUCCUGGGAUGCCCGGAGCUGAGCAAAUGUGUGACCCCAAGGGUGGAAACCACAAGCCAAGGACCGCAGGGCACUUGAGAGGAGGAAGGUCCUUGCAUGGAAGCUGCUUCAACCUAUAGGGCUUCCUGCCUAUACACUUCUUAUGUUCGAAACCCGCAUGUCCUUUUUGGCCAGGCCAUGUGGGCAGGUUUCUGUUACAAGCAGCCGAACGCCAUCCUAUCAUCUCGAACACCGAGUCUAGGGCUGGGCACAUCAUGAAGUCUUAUGAAGUGAUCAUUAUUCAGGGUUGGUAAAGUCAGAUGCGCCGUCGCUGGCCCUCCUAGGCAUCCUGAGUGGUGGGCUGGGGGUGGGGGUGUCGGGUGACAAGGUCUGGCAGGAAAGCGAUGGGAGGGACUCUUUAACCCUCCAGUCCAGGGAGCAUCUGGGAAGCUGUCGAGGAGUAGGGAGAGCUGUGCCUUCGUGUUCUGCUACGGUUGUGUUCAGACUGUCAGGGCUGUGGCUCUCCUUCCCCCCAGGACACGCGUGACCUCUGACUCAGCCUCCUGCCCCUGGGUAGUGGUUCCGAAACUCACCCAUCCCGUGCUUGUAGAAGUUUGGGGUGGAGCCUUCUUACCCACUGUGAUGCUUAAUUUUAAGUGUCACUUUGACGGGGCUAAGGGAUGCCCAGAUGGCUGGUAGAGCAUUAUUUCUGGGUGUGUCCCUAAGGGUGUUUCUGGAAGGGAUUAGCAUUUGCAUUGUAGACUGAGCAAAGAAGACCGUCCUCAUCCAUGUGGGAGGGCGCCGGGCCCGUCCUCCAAGGGUCUGAAUCCUGUGAGAAUGUGGAGGAAAUUCAGGUGCUCCAUUCCUUGGCCCAAGACCUAGACAUCCUUUUUUUGGAAGGAAGAAGUUUUCCCUCUCCACCCGGUCACCAGCAAGCACCGUCCGUCUGGAACAGUCGGGGGCUGGGUCCCCGUGCCG